rnacentral:rRNA from 1 species
UCCUACGGGGGGCAGCAGUAGGGAAUUUUCGUCAAUGGGCGCAAGCCUGAACGAGCAAUGCCGCGUGAACGAGGAAGGUCUUCGGAUCGUAAAGUUCUGUUGCAGGGGAAAAAGAGCGGAGAGAGGAAAUGGUCUCCGAUUGAUAUUACCCUUCGAGGAAGUCACGGCUAACUACGUGCCAGCAGCCGCGGUAAUACGUAGGUGGCGAGCGUUAUCCGGAAUGAUUGGGCGUAAAGGGCGCGUAGGCGGCCUGCUAAGUCUGGAGUGAAAGGUACCGGCUCAACCGGUACAGGCUCUGGAAACUG